GGGCUGACCACACUGUGAACGAGAGAUUGGGCUUCCUGGAGAGGAAAGAAGGGCUGCUGGUGAGGCCUCAGUAGGUUCAUCCCAGAAAGGGGUUGAUGGCAAGGAUCAGCUGGGACAUGUUGCAAAACUCAGUAGCCGAAAUCAACACUGGCUGAUUUCUCAGCAAAGCUGAAUGUCCCUUGUGGGCCAGCGGAGAUUGCGGGGGGUGGGGGGGAUCUGCCCCUCAUGGCUACUCAGGGACUCAGAUUCAUGGAAGGAUUGCUUUUCCCCCAAUCCCUUUAUCGGAGGCAGGAGCUGGGGGGGAGGGAGGAGGCAACCCUGCAACAGCUUUGGUGGGGUCCCCUGCCCCACCCGGAUCACCCAGGAAGUGCACCAAGGCACCCAGGAAGCACAGCUCUCCCACCUGCCAGCAGGUGCAUCGGGGAGUGGUGGGUGGGGCAGGGCGAUCUCGGACUUUCCUUCUGGCUCUGCCGGGAGCGCCUGCAGCCGGGCCUCUGUUCCGCCUUAUCAGCAGGUGCAUCUCUGAGCAGGAGGUGAGGCAAGGCUCUGCUCCUUCCUGGUGUCACUGCCACGGGGCGGGGCUGGCAGAGAAACCACCAGGUGUGGCCGUGGGAAAGUCCCUCCAACACUACAGAAACAUGGAAUUUCCUGGUUGUCCGGCUGCGUUCUCGGAGCCACAACCCCCCCCCCCCCACACACACACCCUGGCUGGGAGGUUGGCGUGUUCCAGUGUCUCUGAGGACCAUGCGCAAAUCCCUCGAGAUGUGUGGGUCUCAGGGCCCCCAGUAUCUGCCCACAAAAUGCCUUCCAGGCUCCUGCGCUCUCCAAAUAUCGCUCCCGGCCACGCGUCUCUCCUUGGGUCUCCAGGGAGCGCAUGCCCUGGUUCGGCGCGUACUCUUGGGCCUCUGUGCGCUCACUGUGCUGAGUCCAAGGAGUGGCUGGACCUGGACAGGGGGCCUGAGCCUCCUGAGUCUCCCAGCUGUGGGUGCUGGCUUCCCAGGAAGCUCUCCACCAGGCCGAGUUGUCCUGCCUGCUCUGUAGACGCUGGGCAGAGCUUUGAACUUCUCUGCUCCAGUGAACGCAAUCGGGGCAGGGAGGCACCCAGCCGCGUGCCACUGCAGCUCAGGCCUCUGGACCUCACACUCUUCCUCCAGCCGGCAGGUGUGGUUGGCAGCAGCCAAGCUGCCUGUCUCUUUAAGAGAGAGAGAGCGAAAGGGAGCCCGAGGGAGCAAGAGAGAACGAAAUCAGGAAGUGUGAGAGCUGCGAGCCACCGCACUGUGCUGUGCCGAGCUGAGUGUCCCGCGGAAACCCCACAGCCCCCGCUCCUGGGGCGCCACCGGGCCGCUUCAUCGGGCGCUGCCUCUGGGCCCAGGAUGCUGUGGAGCUGCCACUCAGCUCCUGGGCUCGCCGCCGCACACAGGAAGCCGGACACACGCUCGCCAGGGAGAGGCUGGGCCUGACUCCAGCUCAGAGCGUGCGGCUGUCUUUCGGGGCCGGAGAUGCAGAGCACG
rnacentral:lncRNA from 1 species